CUACGGGAGGCUGCAGUAAGGAAUAUUGCGCAAUGGAGGCAACUCUGACGCAGCCAUGCCGCGUGCAGGAAGAAGGCCUUAUGGGUCGUAAACUGCUUUUAUUUAGGAAUAAACCCCCGAACGUGUUCGGGGCUGAAGGUACUAAACGAAUAAGCACCGGCUAACUCCGUGCCAGCAGCCGCGGUAAUACGGAGGGUGCAAGCGUUAUCCGGAUUUAUUGGGUUUAAAGGGUGCGCAGGCGGGCUAUUAAGUCAGUGGUGAAAUCCCGGGGCUCAACUCCGGAACUGCCAUUGAUACUGUAGUCUUGAGUUUGGUUGAAGUGGGCGGAAUGUAGCAUGUAGCGGUGAAAUGCAUAGAUAUGCUACAGAACACCAAUCGCGAAGGCAGCUCACUAAGCCAAAACUGACGCUCAUGCACGAAAGCGUGGGGAUCAAACAGGAUUAGAUACCCCUGUAGUC
rnacentral:rRNA from 1 species